rnacentral:rRNA from 1 species
CCCUUAGAUGUUCUGGGCUGCACGCGUGCUAAACUGAUAUUGCCAAUAUGUCAUUCUUAUCCGAAAUGGAUUGGGUAAUCAAGUAAUGAAAUUUCAUGCUUGGAAUCGGUAAUUGCAAUUUUAUCGUGAACGAGGAAUUCCUAGUAAGCACUAGUCAUCAGCUAAUGUUGAUUAUGUCCCUGCCCUUUGUACACACCGCCCGUCGCUACUACUGAUUGGGUGUUCAAGUGAGAUGCUUAGACCCUUGUUGCAUGGUUCAUUAUUGUGCUCCGAAAGGAAAAAGUUUCAAGCUUGAGUGUCUAGAGGAAGUAAAAGUCGUAACA